GAGCCUUAGUAUUAUUGCACCCGGAAUUCAUAUGUAUAAACCGUGUCCAUGACGGUACGUAGAACGUUGUUUUCUGCAGUAUGGCUUUUCUCUACGACACACAAGGGACACGGGAGACUGGAUAGAAUUUCAUUAGAGGCGCAACAACUCGCUACAAACCUUCUCGCGUAACGGCGUCCCAUCAUUAACGCACUCCUAUUAUAGGCAUAACCGUUUAACUAUUUUGCUAAUGCUCGACGUUAUUCCACUCGGUUGGCAAUUCCUAAGAGUUACGAGAAAUCGAUUCUGGCUCGAUGCAUAUGCCAUCGUAUAACCUCAAAGUCUCAUUAUUUAUUUUGUUUUUCGUUCACAAACUCAUCGGCUUCUCUAUUCGGAAUUUCCUGGGCUACUUAUAUGCUCGGCUUUCGCAAGUGAGAAGACAGCUAGCCACCCAGGCCAAGGGCUUCUGGGAGGUUAUGGCAUGGCUGGAUUAUAGAGUUGUUUUACUGCCUCGGGGGUUGGACGUAACCUCGCUUCAUAACAUAACCAAAUGAAGCGGGUUUGCUCCCUGGAGAAGGUCUGGGUCGGACCGUGUACCAGAGAUGCUCUCAUUACAAGGGACAGGAUAACUGUCCUAACGCGGCUGGAGCUGUGAAAAUUGAGUUUCCGAGAGAGCUCCUGGAUUAACCAAGACGAGCGGAAGUCGCCGUUAAAACGGACCCCCGCCUGAAUUCUCACUCGAAUUCCUCUUACGAUUUCAGAGCGUACGAGUAAGAACCAGUGCCAUCCCUCGGGGUAUCAAGGGUUGGCGGAAUGGAUUCUAAAGGGAGGACAACUGAAAGGAAGACUGGAAGAGCAUUUCAUUCGACGUUACUGGGAUGCUGGAUGAGCUGCUCCUCUAGGUACACGUUCAUCCCAGACAUCCUGUCAUCUCAGCGUAGCUUCGAGUUUACAGGCAACGACUUUCAAAAACUGACGUUACCUCUACUACCUACGGCCACUCUUCUGGCUUCUUGGUUUUACUCUUCGUUAACCUCCGUGCAACGAGAUAGCGGAAUUAACAACGACGCGGUCGUUCUCAUAAGCCAGGACGUCUCUAACAGGGUUCUUAACUCGAUUAUUUCCUACAAGACGCUUAGCAACCUACCCGGGACAUCGAAGUCAGCACGAAAUUGGUAGACGAGGGGUGUGUCUGAUAAAUUUAAUGACUCCCCAAGGAUACGAGCUGGAACCAGGAAGAAUCGUCGUAUAGAAGUCUCAAGGGAGAUAAGAAAAAGACAGGAGAGAAGAAACUAGAAUUAAGAUCCAGGCUGAUGAUUACAAUGAUCAGAACGACGAGACAACUGGAUCCAUAGCUUACAAGUGCCAAGAGAUUCAAAGAAGAAUUUUUAACCUCUCAGAGCGAAGCAAACUUGAUCCAGUGGUGGAGGAAGACGAGGAAAGCUCGAAGCUCAAGAACCUCAGGAUGCGAGUUCGAGAACCUCGUCCCUAGAUUUCACGGUGCU